AUUCGUUCACUCCUAAUGGAGCGCAGUCCGAGCUAUACCAUGGAACGGGGGAUAGC
rnacentral:ncRNA from 2 species